CCCGUUACAGGGCGCCCCAAUCAGUGUCGCAGUGUCUCCCGUUCCGCCUAGCACGUAGCAGGUGUCGUCAUUCACUCGCCACUCCGUCCACAUUCUCGACGAAAGAAGAUCGCACAUGCGAACAGUGACAAGACAGCGGCCUUCUUACGUCCGCGGGUUCCGCAAGAGUGCGAGAACUCGCCGAUCAAUUCACUCGACGUCGCGCCCAGUCCGUGCCCAGUUCUCGCGGCCCGCGCGAAUCGCGAACGAUCCUUUCCUUGCGUUGCGUUCUUGUGCGAGAUCAUGACAGAACAUCAACUGAUACCGAUCAACAGUACCCAUAUCGACUUAGCCGCGAGUGAUUAGAAUCGUUCGCGAGCCGCGCUUUAUAAAAUUCAGACCGUCAUUCUCCAGGACUAUCGUCCGUUGGUCCACGGUACUGAUCGUCAAUGAUCGCAAACAUCGUUCUCGAGCAGCACAUGUUUGGCCAACGAUUGGGAUAUACUGGACUAAUAUUGGGCCAAUCAAUUGUGCUGCUAAGCUCGAAAAAUUUGGGGAUUAUUUUCACGAUUUCUCGGGACAUCUGAUAUCAAGUCCAGGACGCGUCUCGUGAGAUAGGUCGAUCGAUUAUCGUGCGGGAUUUGCGAGAGUCGAAUAGACGCGGGAUCACCGACCGCUCGAACGUGAUCCUGAAAUAAAAGGAGAAAGAACCGUGCAUCGACGACAACGACAACGACGAAGGGAUCGGUUUCAAUCGAUGGCGACAGUGAACGUUGAGCCGCGAACGAUAAGUCUUAAAAUUGAACCAGCAUCAGAUAAAAUCUAACUACGCAACGAACGACUUAACGCACGCAAGCACGCAAUAAGGCAAUAUUUUCGUUCAAAAAAAUUUUUCCAUAACCGUUUUGUUGCAAAACGUAUACAUUAACAAAAGAAAUAUGUCCUUAAGGGUGCGUUCCACUUAAUGCCCGCAACGCUCGCGAGCGUUGCUUAUCCUUGUUUAAUAUUUGAUAACCAACAAGGAUGAAAUGAUUCUACGGUCGUUGCGAGCUUUAAGUGGAACGCACCCUAAAUCAGAAACUGAACGAGAAACUUUUGGUAACCAAAAGAUAAAAACAAUUAUUAGUAACAAAAUAUUAAUAUGACAUGCACGUAUUAUGCCAAAACAAUAUAAAAAGAUAAGGCCAACAACGAAUUAGAUGUAGAAUUUCUUUCUAGAAUUUCAAAUCAAUUAAUUAUAAUAAAAUUUUUAACGAUAAAAUAAUGAUAAAAAUAUUGUAGUUUUUAAACUUAACAGAUUUUAAGAAAAAUUUAAAGUUUUUGUUUACAUUUACGUUUACAUUUGUAUUAUAUAAGUAGUUAUUUUUAAUUACUGAUUUUACAAUACGAAAGUUAUUUGAUAAAUUUGACAAAUUUCUAUGAAAUUGCGUUAUUUACUUGUUAAUGUGACAUUUGGAAAGUUUCACUCUUUAAACCCCUCCAAACAAUCGAAAGUGAUGCAUUGUUUACAUUCGAUCAUUUGAAAUAAGCGAUUUAGCAAUUGUCACAAAAUAAAAAAACAAAUUCUGAUUAAUGACAAAUUAUAUGAAUUGAGUUUGGAAUUGAUUCCUGAAUCCUAUUCUCCGAAUUUGGGCUCGUGCGACUUCUUCCUACUCUCAAUUUUUUUGAAAAUCUGGAAAAUCUCUCGAAGGGGGAAAAAGUUCCAUUUUUAUGACAACAUCUACAAUUUACAAUCCGUUAUUGCCGUCACGAAGAAAUCUUAAGCGCAGAGAAAUCGGAUAAGUGAUAUGUGAUCAUAAUAGGAAACUCUAGUAUUCAAGGAACUCAUUUUAUACGAUUGUGUCUAUAGAAUUUUUUAAUUUUCUUUUGAUACCUUACGGUUCUAAUCAUAUCCCAAUGCUGUUUACUAGGAACUCAACUAUACUGAACUAUGUUUACAAAAAACUGAGCAUAGUUUUUUAGUUUAGAAGGGUUUAAGAGUGAAACUUUUCAGACGUCAAUAAAUGAAUGCUGCCAUUUCAUAAAAAAUUUCCGAACGUAUUAAACGACCCAAGUAUAUCAUAUAAUUUCUAACUCUGAUAGUCAAACCCGAAGAAAUAAAUUAUAAGUAGAGUCUGCUAUCAAGACCUGAUUCUAGAAGAGCAAUAGAUUUCAAACUUUGUAAUAUUUGACGAUGUCAGCGAACUGCUGUCAGAAAUCUGAUAGAAUCUGUUGAUGUCCUUUGCAACAGACUGAACUCAUCUAAGCUCUCAUUUUGUUAACAUUCUAUUAACAGAAUCUGUUGACAUUCUACAUCUGGAGACUGGCAGUAGAAAUCGAACGAACUUUGUUACAAAACAGCAGAGCCUGCUGCCAAUCUGUUGUUAGACUAUCACGCAGGUCCUGCUUAUUUUUUGCUUUCAAUCCCACGUCAGGUUCUGUCAAGUUCUGCUUGAUUUCUGCUGUCAUUUCUGAUAUUCUAUUGCCAGUCUGCUAACAUUUUGACAACAUUUUGCUGACUGGAUAUGUAUAUAAUUUAAUGUAUAUAAUGUUCUCGGUUUACCUCGGUUAUUAUAUGCUUUUAACUAUAAUAAUGGUUUUUUAUUGAGUUCUUAUUUAACUGAAAGAAUUAUGUGUCUAACAAUGUUUCACUAUUUUAAUUUGAUAUAUAUCAAGGAUAAGAUAUAUAUUUGACCGAUAAGUAUUAUAAACAUAAAGAUAAAGAUGAGAUUGAUUAUUUGGUCUGCAGCGAAUCUUGGUGCAGAAUAAUAGCUUUUUUGUGAAUUUAACCUAAAACGAUAAACCUAUAUUUUCCAACUUCAAACGUUAUACUGGGUUAAAAAUGUACCCCAUUCCUUCGCAAACGUGCUGCAUUGAACAGAAGAAUUGAAAUCACUAUUGUUCUACAUGAAUUUCUUUGUUUUUGAAUGACGAAGACGAUAAUAUAAUUUACAAUAAUAUUAAUUAUUAUUAAACACGUUAAAAAUUAAUUUAAACAAAAUAAAGUUAAAAAAAAUUCACAAAAAUGACUUCUUUUUGAAAAUCUAUUGUAUUUUUGUCAAUUUUUUACGAAUUAAAAAACCAAACAGUUUUCAAAAGAUAAAAGAUAGAUUUAGAACCGGGAUAAAAUAGGUAUCGUUUAAAAAGUUUAAUUAUUUUGACAAAUAAAAGUUGGAAAAACGAUAGUUGAAGAGAAAUGGAAAAAAAAA